rnacentral:rRNA from 1 species
GGGUCAGUAGGUUGGUCGUGCCACCGGUACGUACUGGUCUCACUGCUUCCUCCUUCCUGAAGAACCGUAAUGCCAUUAAUUUGGUGUUGCGGGGAAACAGGACUGUUACUUUGAAAAAAUUAGAGUGCUUAAAGCAAGCUAACGCUUGAAUACAUUAGCAUGGAAUAAUGAAAUAGGACGAUCGAUCCUAUUUUGUUGGUUUCUAGGAUUGACGUA